CAGUAGCCACGGGAAUACGGAGGAUCCAAGCGUUAUCCGGAAUCAUUGGGUUUAAAGGGUCCGUAGGCGGUCUUGUAAGUCAGUGGUGAAAGCCCAUCGCUCAACGGUGGAACGGCCAUUGAUACUGCAGGACUUGAAUUAUUGGGAAGUAACUAGAAUAUGUAGUGUAGCGGUGAAAUGCUUAGAGAUUACAUGGAAUACCAAUUGCGAAGGCAGGUUACUACCAAUUGAUUGACGCUGAUGGACGAAAGCGUGGGUAGCGAACAGGAUUAGAUACCCGUGUAGUCCCUGUCUCUUAUAC
rnacentral:rRNA from 1 species